GAUGAACGCUGGCGGCGUGCCUAAUACAUGCAAGUCGAGCGAACGGACGAGAAGCUUGCUUCUCUGAUGUUAGCGGCGGACGGGCGAGUAACACGUGGAUAACCUACCUAUAAGACUGGGAUAACUUCGGGAAACCGGAGCUAAUACCGGAUAAUAUUUUGAACCGCAUGGUUCAAAAGUGAAAGACGGUCUUGCUGUCACUUAUAGAUGGAUCCGCGCUGCAUUAGCUAGUUGGUAAGGUAACGGCUUACCAAGGCAACGAUGCAUAGCCGACCUGAGAGGGUGAUCGGCCACACUGGAACUGAGACACGGUCCAGACUCCUACGGGAGGCAGCAGUAGGGAAUCUUCCGCAAUGAGCGAAAGCCUGACGGAGCAACGCCGCGUGAGUGAUGGAGGUCUUCGGAUCGUAAAACUCUGUUAUUAGGGAAGAACAUAUGUGUAAGUAACUGUGCACAUCUUGACGGUACCUAAUCAGAAAGCCACGGCUAACUACGUG
rnacentral:rRNA from 1 species